UCGAAUGCUAUUUUCACCAGAUGCUUGUUCAAGUUCAACAGUCAAGCUCGGUGGGAGUAACAUUCGAAA
rnacentral:pre_miRNA from 1 species